GGGGAUGAAAGGUAUCGACAGCGUGAUCAAUGGUGUGUGUUUGCCUCAGUCCGGGAUCGUACUGUUUCCCGUCACCCAACUGUACAACCUAUAGAUGCUAAAACAUCUUUCAUGGCAUACGUGGAAGACAUGGUGAACAGCCUUCAGCUGCAGCCGGUCGCCCUCGUUGCUUAAGUUCGCCUUUGCGCGAACACGCCGCUCUCCCGACUCCUGCUGAGGAGAAUCCGGCGUCACUAGCAGGGCUUUCCGUCAUCGGACGUUGUGACGAGAUCGUAUUCAGACGUCAUCACUCGCUCCCUCUCUCUGUUGUUCUCUUACGGGAUGCGAGAAUGAGAACUUCAUGACCGUACAGGCACAUGCGCUACACGUUGGACCCGGGUUCGAAUCCCGGCAUCUCCACCA
rnacentral:tmRNA from 1 species